ensembl:snRNA U1 U1 spliceosomal RNA
AUAUUUACCUGGCAGGGGAGACACCAUGACCACAAAGGUGGUUUUCCCAGAGUGAGGCUUAUCAGUUGCACUCCAGAUAUGCUGACCCCUGUGAUUUCCCCAAAUGUGGGAAACUCAACUGCAUAAUUUGUGGUAGUGGAGGACUACAUUCAUGCUCUCUCCUG